CCUACGGGAGGCAGCAGUGAGGAAUAUUGGGCAAUGGGCGCAAGCCUGACCCAGCGACGCCGCGUGAGCGAUGAAGGCCUUCGGGUUGUAAAGCUCUUUUGCGGGGGAAGAUGAUGACGGUAUCCCGCGAAUAAGCCACGGCUAACUUCGUGCCAGCAGCCGCGGUAAU
rnacentral:rRNA from 1 species